UCCGGUUUGACACCGGCAGUCUCGUUAGAGUCCUGUCUUGCGACUUAGCAACUAACGAUAGGGGUUUCGCUCGUUAAGGGACUUAACCCGACACUUCACAGCACGAGCUGACGACAGCCAUGCAGCACCUGUGCACGUUUCACUCAAAGAGCAGCUUACUCGGCUUUCACCGAGGGCAUCCGUGCAUGUCAAGCCCAGGAUAAGGUUCUUCGCGUUGCUUCGAAUUAAGCCACAUGCUCCACCGCUUGUGUGAGCCCCCGUCAAUUCCUUUGAGUUUUAGCCUUGCGACCGUACUCCCCAGGCGGCGCACUUAACACUUUUGCUUCGACCAUGAAAGCGUCAGAGCUCCCACGAUCUAGUGCGCAUCGUUUAGGGCGUGGACUA
rnacentral:misc_RNA from 1 species